rnacentral:sRNA from 1 species
AUAUGAAGGUAAUUUUGUUUAAAGUGCAAGUGACAUAUAAAAAAAAAAGAUGAAGGGGCUGCAGGAAACAGGUCAUUGACUAUCAAGUGACUACCCACGCUGGACAGAAAGUUGUGAGAGAUGUCAUAACCACAACAAGAGUGUGUCUUUCAGUGUCAGUGAUGAAAUGAGUAGAUCAUCCACGUACGAGUCGGAAGCAAAUUGGAAAAGAACAAGAAUUAAAAAAAUAGAUCGAUCCACAUUGGAUAUUGCACAGGGUGUGCUGAUAUUUCAAAAUGACCAUGGUGGUCAUUCGAAUAAAAAGACAAAAAAAAAAGCAUUUAGGUAAAAGCCAUACAUCUUAGGAAUGGUGACGUCAAAGCAAUAUGUUAACUUGAAAAGAAAUAUUUCUCUUGGAUUUGUGGCUCAUUUUGUAAACACAUUUCUCCAAAGUAUAUAAAAGAAAUUUCCUCUAGGACUGCAACAAUCGCUUUAAAGUUGUCAACUGAUCGACAUCUGACUGACACAAUGAGGAAACUGGCACUGACCGUAGCCCUGGCUCUACUAUUGACCUUCGGCAUCUAUCUGAUAGAAGCACUGCCUUUAAGCACCUUGUCGGAAUUUCAAUGCUUCGCUUUCUGUUACCAAGCCUUCAACUGCAGUUACAACAGCGACCCCAGAUGUAUUCUGUUUUGUAAACAAAUCUGCACGACCAGCAGCGAAGAAUAACCAAGGCACACGCCAGAGCGAAAAGUUGAAAAGACAAUGCUUUCAGUAUUUAUGAUCUGGGAAACACUUUAAAUGUUUCAAAUCUAAUCAUCUGUCCCUCAUAAUAAUUCAUGGACUGGUGGAUUUUUUUUUUCUGUUGUAGUGGAAAAACAACUGUUAAAAAAAUCUUAUCAUAAUCUAAUGAAUGUAACCAAAUAAAAAACCCUCUAUACAAAACUGUGCCAUGGUACUGAGCCCUACUCACCAUGCCUAACGCUCUGUAUAGUAAUUGCUUCUGUAUAGAUUGUUUUGCGAUCAAAUAAUUGUGAGUAAAGAAAAUAAAAAAAAUGUAUGCAUUUAU